GAUGAACGCUGGCGGCGUGCCUAAUACAUGCAAGUCGAGCGAACGGACGAGAAGCUUGCUUCUCUGAUGUUAGCGGCGGACGGGUGAGUAACACGUGGAUAACCUACCUAUAAGACUGGGAUAACUUCGGGAAACCGGAGCUAAUACCGGAUAAUAUUUUGAACCGCAUGGUUCAAAAGUGAAAGACGGUCUUGCUGUCACUUAUAGAUGGAUCCGCGCUGCAUUAGCUAGUUGGUAAGGUAACGGCUUACCAAGGCAACGAUGCAUAGCCGACCUGAGAGGGUGAUCGGCCACACUGGAACUGAGACACGGUCCAGACUCCUACGGGAGGCAGCAGUAGGGAAUCUUCCGCAAUGGGCGAAAGCCUGACGGAGCAACGCCGCGUGAGUGACGAAGGUCUUCGGAUCGUAAAACUCUGUUAUUAGGGAAGAACAUAUGUGUAAGUAACUGUGCACAUCUUGACGGUACCUAAUCAGAAAGCCACGGCUAACUACGUGCCAGCAGCCGCGGUAAUACGUAGGUGGCAAGCGUUAUCCGGAAUUAUUGGGCGUAAAGCGCGCGUAGGCGGUUUUUUAGUCUGAUGUGAAAGCCCACGGCUCAACCGUGGAGGGUCAUUGGAAACUGGAAAACUUGAGUGCAGAAGAGGAAAGUGGAAUUCCAUGUGUAGCGGUGAAAUGCGCAGAGAUAUGGAGGAACACCAGUGGCGAAGGCGACUUUCUGGUCUGUAACUGACGCUGAUGUGCGAAAGCGUGGGGAUCAAACAGGAUUAGAUACCCUGGUAGUCCACGCCGUAAACGAUGAGUGCUAAGUGUUAGGGGGUUUCCGCCCCUUAGUGCUGCAGCUAACGCAUUAAGCACUCCGCCUGGGGAGUACGACCGCAAGGUUGAAACUCAAAGGAAUUGACGGGGACCCGCACAAGCGGUGGAGCAUGUGGUUUAAUUCGAAGCAACGCGAAGAACCUUACCAAAUCUUGACAUCCUUUGACAACUCUAGAGAUAGAGCUUUCCCCUUCGGGGGACAAAGUGACAGGUGGUGCAUGGUUGUCGUCAGCUCGUGUCGUGAGAUGUUGGGUUAAGUCCCGCAACGAGCGCAACCCUUAAGCUUAGUUGCCAUCAUUAAGUUGGGCACUCUAAGUUGACUGCCGGUGACAAACCGGAGGAAGGUGGGGAUGACGUCAAAUCAUCAUGCCCCUUAUGAUUUGGGCUACACACGUGCUACAAUGGACAAUACAAAGGGCAGCGAAACCGCGAGGUCAAGCAAAUCCCAUAAAGUUGUUCUCAGUUCGGAUUGUAGUCUGCAACUCGACUACAUGAAGCUGGAAUCGCUAGUAAUCGUAGAUCAGCAUGCUACGGUGAAUACGUUCCCGGGUCU
rnacentral:rRNA from 1 species